rnacentral:rRNA from 1 species
GCCACCAGGACCACACCAUAAACCUUUUUGUUAAUGCAAUCAGCGUCAGUAAAAAGUAAUAAUUAUUUUACAACUUUCAACAACGGAUCUCUUGGUUCUGGCAUCGAUGAAGAACGCAGCGAAAUGCGAUACGUUGUGUGAAUUGCAGAAUUCAGUGAAUCAUCGAAUCUUUGAACGCACAUUGCGCCCUUUGGUAUUCCAAAGGGCAUGCCUGUUCGAGCGUCAUUUGUACCCUCAAGCUUUGCUUGGUGUUGGGCGUUGUUUGUCUUUGGCCUUGCCCAAAGACUCGCCUUAAAACAAUUGGCAGCCGGCCUACUGGUUUCGCAGCGCAGCACAUUUUUGCGCUUGCAAUCAGCAAAAGAGGUUGGCCAUCCAUCAAGACUACAUUUAUACGUUUGACCUCGGAUC